rnacentral:rRNA from 1 species
GAACUCUAGUAAAAAAUUAAAUUUUCGAAAAUUAAACGAAGUGAAUUGAAAUAUCUUAAUAACUUCAGGAAAAUAAAUCAAAAGAGAUUCCCUAAGUAAUGUGAAUGAAAUAGGAUAAGUUUUAAAAAGUAAAAUGGAGUGCACAUCUGUUUGAAUAAAAGGGGAACCUUCCUCUAAAACUAAAUAUAAUAUAUAAGCGAUAGCGAAAAGUACCGUGAGGGAAAUGAUCAAAAUAGUAGUUUUAUAAGCAGCUCAAGAUAAAGUUUAAAUAAACAACAAGAGCGUACCUUUCGCAUAAUGGGUCAGCAAGUUAAUGUUUGAUGCGAGCAGUAAUGCGUAGAUAAAACAAUUAUGAUAUAAUGAUGUAGUAUCAAAAUUAGACCCGAAGCCUAGUGAUCUUACCACGAUCAGGAUUAUAAAAGUCCGAACGGGUUAUCGUUGUAAAGAUAUCCGAAGAAUUGUGGUAAGUUAGUGAAAGACAAUACUGACUAGGAUAGCUGGUUUUCUGCGAAACCUAUAUAAGUAGGUAAUUUAAAUAGAAUAUCAGAAGGUACAGAACUGUGAUCUCAUACAACUAGUAUUCAUUUUUUUUUACAUAUAAGGAAAAGUGAAAGAUGUGCUUUUUGUGGACAUUGGGGGGUCGUGAAGACUCUAUCAGUGAGUAUUUGUUCUCGGAAGGACUAGAUAUGUAUAUUGAAUAAUCGGACAUAGUACGAUAAGGUUGUAUGUCUAAAGGGAAACAGCCCAGAACAAGAGUUAAUAAGGUUCCAAAAUUUUUGUUAAGUGAAAUUAAGGCAGUAUUUAUCCCAAACGGCCAGGGAAUAGGCUUAGAAGCGGCCAUUUUUUGAAGACCUCGUAAAAGAGCACUGGUUUUGUUUAAAAGUUUUAUGGAUAAAAGCACCGAAAAUUUAACGGAUCUAAACAAGAUACCGAAACCUUGUCCAUAUAUAUUAAUGUACAUAUUAUACAUUGUAUAUAAGGGGUAGCGGAACAUUGGGGAAGUUUUAGAUUGUUCCUUUACAAGGAUUGAAUAGUAGUAGGAUAGACAACCCAAGUGAUAAUGCUGACAUGAGUAACGAUAAGGGGUAUUACCCUCGCCUAAAGCUUAUGGCAUUUAAUUAAAGUUACGGCCUCUAAGUUUGUUAUAAGUGAUAAAUGUUCUGGAAAACUGUAAACUCCGUAACUAAAUAUAAACUAGAUUAUACUCUUAGUUUACGCGAUAAUACCGUACCUAAAUACUAACACAAGUAAGCAAGUAGAGAAUACGAAGGCGUUCGAGCUAACAAUCAUUAAGGAACUCGGCAAAUUGACUCUCGUAACUUCGGGAUAAGGUGGGCCAUUCCUCCUGAUUAAUAUUAGGCAAGGAAUAGGAGGCAUAGAAUGGUGUUGUACGACUGUUUAAUUAAAACAAAGCACGCUGCAAAGAAAUGAAUUCGAAGUAUUGAGUGUGAUCUCUGCCCGAUGGCGGCUGGUUAUCGGAUUUGCUUAGUUGACUAAAAUAAGCUAGGCUUUGAAGGAAACCCCGUUCAAUGGCGGCCUUACCUAUAAGGGUCCUAAGGUAGCGGAAUACCCUGGCCGUUAAAUGCGGUCUUGCAUGAAUGAUGUAACGAUACAACAGCUGUCUCAAUGAUUGGCUCGGUGAAAUUGGAAUAACUGUGCAGAUACAGUUUACCUCUAGUUAGACGAGAAGACCCUAUGCAGCUUUACUGUUGCUAGUUACCGAGUAUGAUUUAAUGAGUUGUAGUUUAUAAGGUAAUUGACAAGAUAAAAUUGAAACACCUUUACUUCAUUUAUCAUAUUAUAUAAACCUUGUCAGGAGAUAGGUCCAAUGGCCAUUCUUUUAAGAUUUCGUGGUUAAUACACGAGCACUGAUUGUAAGAAUUCAUAGGAACAAUUGCUAGGUGGCAGUUUAUGCGGGGCACAGAUCCCAUAAAAAGUACCUGGGAGUAUCCAAAUUCAUUUUUGUAAAACUGCAUCAUGCAAUUUUACACGAACUUUUUCUUAGGAAAAAUUCAUGUUUUUUAUUUUUAGUCUGGAAUAGGUGUUAUUUUUAUAUCUAACACUAAAUCAAUUAUAUAUCCAUUUAAGUUGGAAUUUUUUUUUUCUAGGUAAGAUUUUAACUACAUUAAAAUAUAGAUGUGACUAAAGAUAUUUAUUUUACUUAUCAAGUUUAACGGCUUAAUCUUGCCUUACUGUUUGACUUACACGUCUUUCAGUCGCGUAAGCGGGGCAUAUGAUCACAAGAUGCAAAAAGGAAAGGUCUUGGAUUAUUGAAAAAGUUACGCUAGGGAUAACAGGCUAAUUGCGCCAGAGAGUUCAAAUUGAGUGCGCGGUUUGGCACCUCGAUGUCGGCUUAGCUUAUCCACAUGAAUGUAGGAGUCAUGAAGGGUGCGACUGUUCGUCGAUUAAAAAGCUACACGAGCUGGGUUAAAUACGUCGUGAGACAGUAUGGUUUCUAUCUUCUAGAGGAAAUUAGAAUAAAAUAAGGAUAGCCCCUUGUACGAAAGGAGUUGGGUAUAUUAACCUAUGGUUUACCUGUUGUUUAACAUCCUAUAUUAAUAUAUCGCACGGCAGGAAAGCUACGUUAGUUAAUGAUAAGUGCUGAAUGCAUAUAGGCACGAAACAUACCUUAAGAUAUUCUCAAAUAUACGUAGUUUAACACUACAAUUUUAAUUAUUAAUCAAUAGGCUUUACCUUAAAGAAUUGUGACGUUUUUAGGGAUUAAGUACUAAUUUUAUAACUUACUAGAUAAUA